CCCUUAGAUGUUCUGGGCUGCACGCGCACUACACUGACAUACUCAGCAAGUUUCCUUGCCUGAAAGGGUUGGGUAAUCUUGUUAGUGUAUGUCGUGAUGGGGAUAGAAUAUUGUAAUUAUUGCUCUUUAACGAGGAAUUCCUAGUAAGCGCAAGUCAUCAGCUUGCGUUGAUUACGUCCCUGCCCUUUGUACACACCGCCCGUCGCUCCUACCGAUUGGGUGAUCCGGUGAAUGAUUCGGACUCUGGCUAUGCUAGCUACUAGCUACGUCAGGGAAAGUUUUGUGAACCUUAUCACUUGGAGGAAGGAGAAGUCGUAACA
rnacentral:rRNA from 1 species